rnacentral:tRNA from 1 species
AGAGAGGCUAAAGCAAUAAGGACUGCUAAUCCCUAUGUCCGUGGUUAACCGCAAACCAUGUAUGGGAGGUCCCACCUGCCCAGUGAUGC